GGGACACGUGGUAUCCUGUCUGAAUAUGGGGGGACCAUCCUCCAAGGCUAAAUACUCCUGACUGACCGAUAGUGAACCAGUACCGUGAGGGAAAGGCGAAAAGAACCCCGGCGAGGGGAGUGAAAAAGAACCUGAAACCGUGUACGUACAAGCAGUGGGAGCACAGAGCAAUCUGUGUGACUGCGUACCUUUUGUAUAAUGGGUCAGCGACUUAUAUUCUGUAGCAAGGUUAACCGAAUAGGGGAGCCGAAGGGAAACCGAGUCUUAACUGGGCGUUAAGUUGCAGGGUAUAGACCCGAAACCCGGUGAUCUAGCCAUGGGCAGGUUGAAGGUUGGGUAACACUAACUGGAGGACCGAACCGACUAAUGUUGAAAAAUUAGCGGAUGACUUGUGGCUGGGGGUGAAAGGCCAAUCAAACCGGGAGAUAGCUGGUUCUCCCCGAAAGCUAUUUAGGUAGCGCCUCGUGAAUUCAUCUCCGGGGGUAGAGCACUGUUUCGGCAAGGGGGUCAUCCCGACUUACCAACCCGAUGCAAACUGCGAAUACCGGAGAAUGUUAUCACGGGAGACACACGGCGGGUGCUAACGUCCGUCGUGAAGAGGGAAACAACCCAGACCGCCAGCUAAGGUCCCAAAGUCAUGGUUAAGUGGGAAACGAUGUGGGAAGGCCCAGACAGCCAGGAUGUUGGCUUAGAAGCAGCCAUCAUUUAAAGAAAGCGUAAUAGCUCACUGGUCGAGUCGGCCUGCGCGGAAGAUGUAACGGGGCUAAACCAUGCACCGAAGCUGCGGCAGCGACGCUUAUGCGUUGUUGGGUAGGGGAGCGUUCUGUAAGCCUGUGAAGGUGUGCUGUGAGGCAUGCUGGAGGUAUCAGAAGUGCGAAUGCUGACAUAAGUAACGAUAAAGCGGGUGAAAAGCCCGCUCGCCGGAAGACCAAGGGUUCCUGUCCAACGUUAAUCGGGGCAGGGUGAGUCGACCCCUAAGGCGAGGCCGAAAGGCGUAGUCGAUGGGAAACAGGUUAAUAUUCCUGUACUUGGUGUUACUGCGAAGGGGGGACGGAGAAGGCUAUGUUGGCCGGGCGA
rnacentral:rRNA from 1 species